GUUUUUUCAAAGAAAAACAUGCAUUUCAAGGCGCUAUGGAUUUCAAAGACCAUGGAUUUACUCAGAACUUAUGGGUUUUAAAAAAGGCUUUAAAAGGAAAUAACUAAAAAACUUUUCCAGUAAUUUAAGAUGAUACCGGGGAAGGUUUUCCGGUUUAUCCCGGAGGGCUUGUAGCUCAGUUGGUUAGAGCGCGCGCUUGAUAAGCGUGAGGUCGGAGGUUCAAGUCCUCCCAGGCCCACCAAUUUAUGCUCGUUUUUUGCUUAUCCAAGAGUAUAAAGCUUAAGCGUAUUAAAGCCUCUUCAAUCUUUGUUUAUUUUUAAAGAUUUUAUUUUAUCAUUCAGAGAUUGUUUGUUAAAUUUAUCCCAUUAAGCUUCCAAAGAGGCUUUGUCCCUUCAGUGGUACAGAUAAAUUUACAUGAUACAAAUCAAAACAGGACAGGUAAUUCAAGUUGAUGAAUUUGGUUAUGGUUGAUUUGAGAGAGCAUUAUUUAGGGGCCGUAGCUCAGCUGGGAGAGCACCUGCUUUGCAAGCAGGGGGUCGUCGGUUCGAUCCCGUCCGGCUCCACCAUUUGGUCAUCAUCGUGUUGUGAGAACACGGUUUAGUAAGGGGGGUUAUACCCUUUUGCUUGUUCUAUUGAAAUUGUGAAGAGAAGAUAUAUUCAGACAUGUUCCUUUUUUAAGGUUCCUUCUGA
rnacentral:tRNA from 1 species